rnacentral:rRNA from 1 species
CCUACGGGCGGCAGCAGUGGGGAAUAUUGGGCAAUGGGCGCAAGCCUGACCCAGCAACGCCGCGUGAAGGAAGAAGGCUUUCGGGUUGUAAACUUCUUUUCUCAGGGACGAAGCAAGUGACGGUACCUGAUGAAGAAGCCACGGCUAACUACGUGCCAGCAGCCGCGGUAAUACGUAGGUGGCAAGCGUGAUCCGGAUUUACUGGGUGUAAAGGGAGUGUAGGCGGGACUGCAAGUCAGAUGUGAAAACCACGGGCUCAACCUGUGGCCUGCAUUUGAAACUGUAGUUCUUGGUUACUGGAGAGGCAGACGGAAUUCCUAGUGUAGCGGUGAAAUGCGUAGAUAUUAGGAGGAACACCAGUGGCGAAGGCGGUCUGCUGGACAGCAACUGACGCUGGUGCGCGAAAGCGUGGGGAGCAAACAGGAUUAGAUACCCUUGUAGUC